UACAGAGGUCCCAAGCGUUGUUCGGAUUCACUGGGCGUAAAGGGUGCGUAGGCGGUCGGGUAAGUCUGAUGUGAAAUCUCACAGCUUAACUGUGAAACUGCAUUGGAUACUAUCUGGCUCGAGGAAUGGAGGGGAGACUGGAAUACUUGGUGUAGCAGUGAAAUGCGCAGAUAUCAGGAGGAACACCGGUGGCGAAGGCGGGACUCUGGGCCGAUACUGACGCUGAGGAGCGAAAGCGUGGGGAGCAAACAGG
rnacentral:rRNA from 1 species